ensembl:lncRNA
CUUCCCCCGGCCUGAAUGACUCCGGCCGGAUGUAUACACGAUCAGGAUGUCCUGCUGAACUUGGUCUGUGUUCGUGUAGGUGUCAGUGUGUGUAGGUGCCCUGACACACACUGACACACAAAUGGCGCCCACCGCCAGUGAGAUCACGGCGCAGUGUGUUCAAACUGAAAAUGGGAAGUGUGUGGUCUUCCUCUCGUUUCCUGUCUGCAAACACACUCACACACUGCAGCGCCCGGCCGCGUGCACGAGGAGCUCCACUCUCGUAGCGCGUCGUGGGGACUGCCGGUGGAAAAGCUCACGACGACAUUGCAGGUUUCUGUGUUCCAGCUCUGGGCCGGGAUGGCUAUAAAAACAGCGAUGGCGGCGGCGGUGCCACAUUCAGGGAUGGAGGGGAGAAAACUUUCAGAGACGCAGGGCCUGCUCAGGUCCUUCUACACCAUCGGCAGCCCCCAGGUACGCUCUUAUUUUGAAGUAUAUUUUCAAAGUCUGUCCGUUUCUUUGACUUUGUUUUGGAGUGGCUCUAACAGAGUGUCUUUAACAGAGUCGGUACCUCCUUGUUUUUAAGUGGCUCUAACAGAGUGUCUUUAACAGAGUGUCUUUCUCCUUGUUUUGGACUGGCUCUAACAGAGUGUCUUUCUCCUUGUUUUGGAGUGGCUUUAAUGUAUUCUCUUUGUCCUUGUUUUGGAUUGGGGCUAACAGAGUGUAUUUCUCCUUGUUCUGCAGAGUGACGGAUCCCAUCCGUCGCUGAAUAUCAAGCUGGGAUGCUGCGAAGCGGCGCUCACCUGUUUCCACGACAACCUUAAGAACGUCACGGCGCAGCACGAGAUAGCGUCGGGCAUGCAAUUGUUCAGCAGUCUGAAAAACUCAAACCUGGAUCAUUCCUGCCCAGCCUGCGAUUCUUUCCCCAGGACGAAGGCGGAGCUUGUCAACCAGCUGUCCCAGUUCCUCGAAAAGGCAGCGAGCAGCUUGUCUACAAAAAGACGGGGAUGAAUCCACCAACUAGGACGCAGCUGAACCCACCAAUCCGGACGCAGCUGAACCCAUCAGACCUCAUCUACAUUCAAAUUUUUAUUUAAGAGCAGCUCACAAUAAUGUAUUCCCAUUAACAGGCCAUAGAUCUUAUUCAUAUGAAUAUUUAUUUUCUUUGUAUUAACUGAUUUACUUAUUUAAUAUUUAUUAAUUUAUUAUUUAUUCAUUUAUUUAUACAGAGUGUGUGGACACUUGGUUAUUGGUUCUUAAAGAACCUAUGAUUUGCUACCGUUCAUGGUAAUUUAUUUAUUUACAAAUAAAAUUAUUUUUAUUUAAUAAAAAUGCCUUUGUCUUGUUUUUGAUACUGAGUCACAUGAUGAAUCUGCUUCUGCCUUAUUAUUAUUUCACCAUUUAAAUUGCUAAUAUUUCCC